rnacentral:pre_miRNA from 9 species
UCUCGAUAGCGUAAAAGUUAACUAAAAAUUGUAUGGAGUUGAAACGUUUGCCUACGUUUGCCGCUUGGGGCGCUGUUCCAACUGAAAUUUGAGUUAACUUUUCCGCUAUCGA